GACGUAGGGCGCGAGCGUUGUCCGGAUUUAUUGGGCGUAAAGAGCUCGUAGGCGGCUUGUUGCGUCGACUGUGAAAACCCGCGGCUUAACCGCGGGCCUGCAGUUGAUACGGGCAGGCUAGAGUUCGGUAGGGGAGACUGGAAUUCCUGGUGUAGCGGUGAAAUGCGCAGAUAUCAGGAGGAACACCGGUGGCGAAGGCGGCCCACUGGGCCGGUGCUGACGCUGAGGCGCGAAGGCGUGGGGAGCGAACGGG
rnacentral:rRNA from 1 species